GACUAUAAGCCCAUAGAGAAUUAUCACAAUGUGGAAUGGACUGCAUUUCCAAUGUUUUAAUUACUUCAGAGAACAGUACAGGUUGAGAUUGUUUUUGCAGUCUUUGUGGCAGAGGGAAUGCUAUUAGAAGCAGACGAGAAGCCUGCAUACAUAAGGAGCAGCAGGGAAAAGCCCAGAAAGCAAGCCAGCAGAGCGAACACAGACCCUGACAGGGGCCUGGUAAAGAUUGAGAAGUUGAGAAAAUUUGGAACAGAAGAUGUCUGGAAAGGGAAGUGCGUCUAGAUAACAGGAUGUAAAAGGAGCUUAAUAAAGGAUGUAAGCUGAUAUUA